CGCGGUAUUUUGACUGUGCGAAGGUAGCAUAAUCAUUUGUCUUUUAAUUGAAGACUUGUAUGAAUGGCUGAACGAGAAAAUAACUGUCUCUUUAAAAAAUCUUGAAUUUUACUUUUAAGUGAAAAGGCUUAAAUAAUUUUAAGGGACGAUAAGACCCUAUAAAUCUUUAUAUUAUUUUUCUUUAAUUUUCAAAUUAUAUAUUAAAAGAAAUAAAAGAAAAAAAUAUUAUAUUGGGGAGAUAAAAAUAUAAUUUUUAACUGUUUUAAAUGUAAAACAAUAAUUUUUGAUUUAUUAAAAUUUGAUCCUUUUUAAAGAUUUUAAGAUUAAGUUACUUUAGGGAUAACAGCGUAAUUUUUUUUGAGAGUUCUUAUCGAAAAAAAAGUUUGCGACCUCGAUGUUGAAUUAAAAUAUCCUUAUAAGUGCAGAAGCUAUAAAGGAAAGUCUGUUCGACUUUUAAAAUUUUACAU
rnacentral:rRNA from 1 species